rnacentral:misc_RNA from 1 species
UACGAAGGUCCCGAGCGUUGUUCGGAAUCACUGGGCGUAAAGGGAGCGUAGGCGGUCCGGCAAGUCAGAUGUGAAAUCCCGGGGCUCAACCCCGGAACCGCAUCCGAUACUGUCGUGACUUGAGUAAUGGAGGGGUAGCUGGAAUUCUCGGUGUAGCAGUGAAAUGCGUGGAUAUCGAGAGGAACACUCGUGGCGAAGGCGGGCUACUGGACAUUUACUGACGCUGAGGCUCGAAGGCCAGGGGAGCGAAAGGG